UCUCGCAGAUCGUCACGCGUCGAACACACUGCCCCAGUUUUGGCUCCGGUUCGGUCCCGGGAAGUGUCAGUUCUCUGCCAGCGUUAUCAGCCUACCCCGCCCUCUACCCUCGCCCAAUCAUCCACCAGCAGAGGGUUGGAGUUGGCAAUCGGAGUGUGUGCACGGGAGCUGUUUCCACUCCCUACUCGACAGGGGGAGGUUUGCGUUUUAGUGCGGCGAAAAGCACAGGCUAACGGCCUAUUUGAAGUGGUUCAAGUUUCGUUCUUCAAGCCAAAGGUGGGAAGCAGUUAAGUGAGAUCGUAAUUACUGUAUGUUAGAAUAAAAAGUGAAAAGGCGUGCUCUACCAAGGAUCUACCGUGGAAAUUGUGCGUUACGAUUUUCGAGACACGAGCUCUCAUUGCGCAAUCUUUUAUUCAUGGAAUGUUUAAUUAGAUUCAAGUGGAUCGAUUCCGUGUAAAAAGUUCAAAGUCUAGGCAAAUUCGAAUUCAAAUUCCUGUGGGAGAAUAUUUGUGGCACUUUGCUACCGAUCCCGGUACAACUUUUGGAUUACACUGGCCAACACGUUUGCCGAGUUUUAAUCCACACGUCGAUUUCAACCCCUUCCCGAAUUACUGCGUUUGAGUUUUAUAUAAGUGAAGCACACCUUGUUGCAUGUCGGAAUUCGCGUGUGCUUGUGGUUCGUGUCUAUUUGUGCCUGCCAGAUUGUGUUCUAUUAGGCAGCUAAUUUAGUGGAUGGAGAGAAAAACAACGGAUGCUGGAAGUGCAAGUAACAGCAGCCAAGUUGGAUUACAUGUGAAAUUGUUGCUCGAAAUUGCUGAAUUGGAGAAAAAUCUGAUACACAGCGUGGCGUAGCUCGGGGCGGUUAGUUUUUCCGUUUCAGGAUUGAGAGAACUUCACCGGAUAGAAUCAUCCCCUUUCCGACUUCAUAAGCUCGUACGCAAUUAAAUGUGAUACAGGAUGUGUGCUAUGCGUACCAUCAUUAAAGUGAUGUAACGGUGAAAAACUGCCCAACUGCUGCUUAAAAAGAGGAUCUAAUCUCCAUUUUCCCGAUUGAAUUUCGGUCCACUGAUCCCAGCUAGCACGGCACGGCACGGAAAGACUGAUUGAAUUUGAACCCGAGCUGUACAGGUGAAUUAGAGUGACGCGAUUGGAGGCAGCAGCGCAUCGAGAAGCGAAAGCAUGGAAAAAGCGGGUCCACUGCGAUAAGUCUCCCGUAGUGUGUUUGUUUGUGUGUCUGUGUGUGGAAAGGAAAAGAAAAUUAAAUUGAAGGUGAAAUUUGGAUGGGAUUAAGUGGAGAGUAACAGGAAAGCUUCUCUAGCGAGGGGUGGUAAAGUGAUAUAAUUAAAUGGAUUUUGAGCAAGAUUAAUUAGUGCAGUUGACACGAUAACCGGGGGCGCUGCGAGCAAAGAAAUCCUCGUCAAAG